CCCGCGCUAUUACGGCUGCAGAAAACUGGGCCCGCCGGCCGGCGUCCUGCAGAACCGAGGCGCCGCUCAGAUCUCUGGCUGGAUAUCAGAAAUAGCUUUUGAUGGCAUGUGGCUUUCUUCUUGAGACCCCAGUGUAAGCAUGUCUGCAGUGGAAGACACAGCACACCAGGAGAUUGAACCGUAAAGUAGCUUCUUGUUAAAUGAAUAGCUGAGGCACACAAUUCUCUCAGACCCUAGGAACUCUAACUCCAUGGUGAGUUUUAAGGGUUCUUUUAUAUUUUAUUUCCCACUGGGCAUGAUAUGUCUCUUCAAC